rnacentral:misc_RNA from 1 species
GAUGAAGAACGCAGCGAAAUGCGAUACGUAAUGUGAAUUGCAGAAUUCAGUGAAUCAUCGAGUCUUUGAACGCACAUUGCGCCCCCUGGUAUUCCGGGGGGCAUGCCUGUCCGAGCGUCAUUGCUGCCCUCAAGCACGGCUUGUGUGUUGGGCCUCCGUCCUCCUCCCGGGGGACGGGCCCGAAAGGCAGCGGCGGCACCGCGUCCGGUCCUCGAGCGUAUGGGGCUUCGUCACCCGCUCUUGUAGGCCCGGCCGGCGCUUGCCGACACAUCAAUCUUUUUUCCAGGUUGACCUCGGAUCAGGUAGGGAUACCCGCUGAACUUAAGCAUAACAAUAAGCGAGGA